rnacentral:rRNA from 1 species
UAACCUGCCCUUAACUCUGGGAUAAGCCUGGGAAACUGGGUCUAAUACCGGAUAUGACCCGUCACCGCAUGGUGGUGGGAGGAAAGAUUUUUUGGUUUUGGAUGGACUCGCGGCCUAUCAGCUUGUUGGUGAGGUAAUGGCUCACCAAGGCGACGACGGGUAGCCGGCCUGAGAGGGUGACCGGCCACACUGGGACUGAGACACGGCCCAGACUCCUACGGGAGGCAGCAGUGGGGAAUAUUGCACAAUGGGCGCAAGCCUGAUGCAGCGACGCCGCGUGAGGGAUGAAGGCCUUCGGGUUGUAAACCUCUUUCAGUAGGGAAGAAGCGAAAGUGACGGUACCUGCAGAAGAAGCGCCGGCUAACUACGUGCCAGCAGCCGCGGUAAUACGUAGGGCGCAAGCGUUAUCCGGAAUUAUUGGGCGUAAAGAGCUCGUAGGCGGUUUGUCGCGUCUGCCGUGAAAGUCCGGGGCUCAACUCCGGAUCUGCGGUGGGUACGGGCAGACUAGAGUGAUGUAGGGGAGACUGGAAUUCCUGGUGUAGCGGUGAAAUGCGCAGAUAUCAGGAGGAACACCGAUGGCGAAGGCAGGUCUCUGGGCAUUAACUGACGCUGAGGAGCGAAAGCAUGGGGAGCGAACAGGAUUAGAUACCCUGGUAGUCCAUGCCGUAAACGUUGGGCACUAGGUGUGGGGGACAUUCCACGUUUUCCGCGCCGUAGCUAACGCAUUAAGUGCCCCGCCUGGGGAGUACGGCCGCAAGGCU